GAUGAACGCUAGCUACAGGCUUAACACAUGCAAGUCGAGGGGAAACGACAUCGAAAGCUUGCUUUUGAUGGGCGUCGACCGGCGCACGGGUGAGUAACGCGUAUCCAACCUGCCCACCACUUGGGGAUAACCUUGCGAAAGUAAGACUAAUACCCAAUGAUAUCUCUAGAAGACAUCUGAAAGAGAUUAAAGAUUUAUCGGUGAUGGAUGGGGAUGCGUCUGAUUAGCUUGUUGGCGGGGUAACGGCCCACCAAGGCUACGAUCAGUAGGGGUUCUGAGAGGAUGGUCCCCCACAUUGGAACUGAGACACGGUCCAAACUCCUACGGGAGGCAGCAGUGAGGAAUAUUGGUCAAUGGGCGAGAGCCUGAACCAGCCAAGUAGCGUGCAGGACGACGGCCCUAUGGGUUGUAAACUGCUUUUAUAAGGGAAUAGAGUGAGCCUCGUGAGGCUUUUUGCAUGUACCUUAUGAAUAAGGACCGGCUAAUUCCGUGCCAGCCGCCGCAGUAA
rnacentral:rRNA from 1 species